UCUAUGGUCUUAAAGGGACUUUGCUGAGAAUCGCUCCAAACAACCGCGUGCGUUGUGACCUUUUCGAAUGAUUCGCGAUCUGAUUCAGGGAGAUUCAUUAAAAGGAAACGACUCAGUUAUUCAUUCUUGAAUCAAAUAUCGUUAGUUCUUUUUGUAAACAGUCAAUAGAAAAUAAGGAUGCACGACUUAUUUCUCAAGACGGUACCAGGACCGCACAAGACACAUGUCCUAUUAAAGGAGCUUCGUCCACCACCUUCUCCAUCCAGUCUAGUCCACCAUCUUCCAAUGGGCAGAGCUACAUAGCGUCAUUAGGCUACUUGGUGAGUGCUGCGGAUGGGCAGGUGAGGAGUGUACCUGUCUGCCUUUGAGGCUCAGAGACCUGGCUGACGGCCUAAUGCUGAGAGGCAUGAGUAGGAAAUGGACAGUAGAGAGGGCGUUGGUGAAGUGUUAUGAAGCGCACACCCAUAGUCUCAUCACAUAUAAGUUAAUAAGUCCCUUUCCAUCCACUGAAAUGGCAGUGAAAUGCUGAAAGAAACAGCUCAAGUGGAACGGCAUGGAGCCAUGGUUUCAAAAGUUACGAGAACAGCUGGCAGUCUCAGUUAUUUGACUGCCAUAAUACAGUCUGAAGUCUUUAUUGGAUUACAUAACUCUUCUGGCAACAUUUGAGAGGGCAAGACGUGGAAUAAUAUUAUAAGCCCCCUGAUUGAAUACCUUAAUUUACCAGGAGCUAGAAGUUCAUCAGAGUUGGGAAAACAAAAGUCUCUCAUAUAUUCUAAGCUCUGCCGGCUCCAUGCAGGGAAUGGGAUGGGUUUCAUAAAUCUCCGAGCCAAGUUCCUUUGAGUCCAUUGGGGGGCCAGGCAUCAGCCAUGACUCAGUCUUUCAAGUGUAACUCGAGCCAAGACAUCUGCAUCGCUCGAGAGGAGGGUACUGAGGCGCAGAUUUGGAACACUCAGCGUUGGGAAUUUUGGGAAGCAGUGAUGCCUAUCAAUGACCCACUUUGAUUUCAAAAUGCUAAUUUGUUCUUUGUUGCCACAAGAUGUUGUUAUUGUGUGACUGAUUGUCAGAGGAGCCACUGAUUUUAAGAGGAAACAAGAAAAGUGAGUUUAUUGGAGAUAACAGUUACUGAAUUGAGCUGGAUAACGACACUCGUUUCUUCCUCAGAGCUGGUUUAUAGCUGAAUCGGCUUCAUAAUUGACACUUAUUGAACUGAAUUGAAUCAGCAUUGAAUAACC